GGAUGCGAUCAUACCAGCACUAAAGCACCGGAUCCCAUCAGAACUCCGAAGUUAAGCGUGCUUGGGCGAGAGUAGUAACUAGGAUGGGGUGACCUGCCUGGGAAGUCCCUUCGUGUUGCAUUCC
rnacentral:rRNA from 2 species